AUUAGACGAAUCAUCUGGAAAGAUGAAUCAAAGAAGGUAAUAAUCCUGUAGUCGAAAAUGUUGUCUCUCUUGAGUGGAUCCUGAGUACGACGGAGCACGUGAAAUUCCGUCGGAAUCUGGGAGGACCAUCUCCUAAGGCUAAAUACUCUCUAGUGACCGAUAGUGAACCAGUACCGUGAGGGAAAGGUGAAAAGCACCCCGGAAGGGGAGUGAAAUAGAACCUGAAACCGUGUGCUUACAAGUAGUCA
rnacentral:rRNA from 1 species